CCCCCUGGACUUUCCUAGGUUCCGUGGUUCCCUCUUCUGUGAUCUCUCUUCCCCCUCUCUUCCCUCUAACUCUGAGGUUAUGGGUUCACUUAAAACCUUGCCUCUGGGU
rnacentral:lncRNA from 1 species